rnacentral:rRNA from 1 species
UACGUAGGCAGCAAGCGUUGUUCGGAAUUACUGGGCGUAAAGAGUGUGUAGGCGGUGUUCUAAGUCUGUUGUGAAAUCUCCCGGCUUAACUGGGAGGGUGCGGCGGAAACUGGAAUGCUAGAGGAUGGGAGAGGUAAGCGGAAUUCCUGGUGUAGCGGUGAAAUGCGUAGAUAUCAGGAGGAACACCUGUGGUGUAGACAGCUUACUGGACCAUUUCUGACGCUGAGACACGAAAGCGUGGGGAGCAAACAGG